GCACGGAUGGUGAAACUGAUAGGCACAAGGGACUUAAAAUCCCUCGACCCGUAUCCGGCCAUGCCGGUUCGAUCCCGGCCCCGGCA
rnacentral:tRNA from 1 species